AGGUCUAUGACUUUCUAUAGAUCAAAGCCACCAAUAUCUUCCAGGGUAACAACAUGGACACAAACAGAGACAUCUCAGGGAAGGCGCCCACGGGUGACACAGGCAAGAUGGACUCCAAAGCUGCUGGCAUGAACCCCUAUGUGGGUUUGGUGAGCAGCCUGCGCGCUGCCUGGCUUACGGGGAAGACGCGCGCCGCUGAGCACCGGGUCUCCCAGCUGGAGGCGCUGCGCCGCUUCCUGGAUGAGAAGAAACAGCCCAUCCUGGAUGCCAUGGCCUCGGACCUGCGCAAGCCCUCCUUCGAGGUGGAGCUCUCUGAGAUUAUCAUGGUCAAGAACGAGGUCAACUACGCGCUCAACAACCUGUCCAGCUGGAUGAAGGACAAGGGUGUGGACAAGAACCUGGUGACUCAGCUGGACACGGCCUUCAUCCGGAAGGAGCCCUAUGGAGUGGUGCUGAUCAUUGGGCCCUGGAACUACCCCUUGCAGCUCAUUCUGGUGCCCCUGGUUGGGGCCAUUGCGGCCGGGAACUGUGUGAUUAUCAAACCAUCCGAGAUCUGCGGCAGCACUGAGAAGCUCCUGGCUGAGACGCUGCCCAGCUACCUGGACAAGGACUGCUUUGCUGUGGUGACCGGGGGCCCUGCAGAGAUGACUCAGCUGCUGGAAAACAAGUUUGACUACAUCUUCUUCACGGGCAGCCCCCAAGUGGGCAAGAUAGUGAUGGCAGCUGCGGCCAAGCACCUGACGCCGCUGACGCUGGAGCUGGGGGGCAAGAACCCCUGCUACGUGGCCGACGAGAGCGACCUGCAGAACGUGGCCAACCGGCUGGUCUGGGGGCGCUGCUUCAACGCGGGGCAGACCUGCAUCGCGCCCGACUACGUGCUGUGCAGCGCAGAGACGCAGGAGAAGCUGCUGCCCGCCCUGCGCCAUGCCAUCACCCAGUUCUUCGGCCCUGAGCCCCGGGAGUCGCCUGACUUCGCCCGCAUCAUCAGUGACAAGCAGUUCCAGCGCAUCCGGGCCCUGCUGGGCAGCGGGCGUGUGGCCAUCGGGGGGCAGACGGACGAGGGGGAGCGCUACAUCGCCCCCACGGUGCUGGUGGAUGUGCAGCCGUCAGACCCUGCCAUGCAGGAGGAGAUCUUCGGGCCUGUCCUGCCCAUCGUCACCGUGCCCAACGUGGACGAAGCCAUCGCCUUCAUCAACCGCCGGGAGCGGCCACUGGCCGUGUACGUCUUCGCCUCCGACAGCAAGCUGGUGCGUCGGGUGCUGGAGCGGACGAGCAGUGGCGGUUUUGGUGCCAACGACACCAUAAUGCAGAUGACGCUAAUCUCGCUGCCCUUCGGUGGGAUUGGGAACAGCGGGCUGGGCUCGUACCACGGCAAGUUCAGCUUCGACACCUUCUCUCACCACCGCGCCUGCCUCCUGCGCAGCCUGGGCCUGGAGACCGUGAACGCCCUGCGCUACCCACCCUACAGCGAGCGCAAAAUGGGGCUGGUGCUCUCCACCUUCAGGAUCAAGCGCACGGGCACCUGCAUCUUGCUGUGAUGGGAGGGUCGGCCCAGCCCGGCCACCCAGCAUCACACAACCCAUGUGUUGCCUGACUGCCAUGGGGGGGAGGAGCAGCUGGCUUGAGCCCCUCAGCUGACCUAGGAAUUCUGACAUCCCCCCCCUUCCACAGAUUAAAGACACUCUCCAGCCUUCCUCUUUCCCCCACUGACGAUGGAAGAAAAUGAUCUGGAAUAUUUAAGCACUGGCUUGGCCUUGUCAGCACUGGUUCUCUACUCUGCUGACCCUGUCCGCCAGAUCUCCCUUGACUCUACCUCCAGAACUAGACCUGAUCUCACAAGAGCAGGGUUGCCUGCUGCAUCCCAACGUGGCGGCUUUUCAUCAUGUGCUAUGGACACUCCAUGGUUGACUCCGCAGGAAGCCGACUGUUCGAGAACGUGCAAAACAUUCUCUUAAAUAGCAGAAAGCCUUGUGCCUAGAUACAUUUACCUGUUAACGUGGAAGCGGUUCUCCUCGUGGUCUCAGAAUAAGAACGUGUUCUGGACUGUUUGUUCCGCCUGAAACAACAAGUCCUGGCUGUUAGUUCCAUCAGAGCUCACUAGCAGCUUUCUCUGCUUUCCAGCCUCAAAGUGCAGGUCGCACAGGAUUUUCCAAUUGCAUGUAAGUUAGGUACUUAACGGAUCUGGAUAGACUCUCCGCAGGUGGCAGAUUUAAUCCUUGGAAUUUCAAUCUACUGUUAUCAGGGUCGAGGGUCCAACCUUUGAACGAAUGGCUACCUGAUCUUUACUUCAUCUUUCCACGAAAGGGGUGUUUGGGAUAGGAAUUACUCUGUGAGAAGAGUGGAGGAGUAUGAGCCUUGGUAGCUGACCCUCCUUACCGUACCAUUUAGGCUGAGAGGAGAGUCCUAACUAAGGGCAGGACAGGAGCAGCGUCUACAAAACCAGGGGGCUGGUAGCAGAAAGAGGCUGCAGGGAGGAGAGCUGCAGUCGCUGUCCCUGGGGUAAGGGAGAGAAAGGGGCAUUGGCCCCAAGAGGAAGGGUCUGUCUAGUAGACCAGAAGGACAUAGGGGUUUAGCUAGGAUGGACAAUGCAAGCCUGGGAUAGGCAAGGUAGGGAGUAGUCUAGGGAUGAGGCAGGAAGGUUUGGGGUAGUUGCUGGAGAUAGGACCCCUGGACUGGAACCCAGAAUAGAGAGUGGGCCUGGGUUCCCCUACAGCCCCUGAAAGAGUGGCAUGAUCUGGGCAGUGAUCCUGAAGACCGUCUGGGAAGGUUCAUCCCAGUCACUGAGGGGGUGUGGCUCAGCCAGGAGUGUGCCUGGGAUGCUGUGGAGGACUUUGUAGAACCUCGGAAAGGGAGGACCAUUGUGUACUUGGCUGGAGGGCUAAGCCCUGAAGACGAGGCACUGCAGCUCCUGAGGAGCAAGAGAGGGGCCCCAGAGCAAGACAGGCCAAGGAACAGCAAGAAGAGGGUGUCUGGCUGAAAGAGCUAAGCCCCAGAGGUGACUGGCAAACCCAAUGACAGCAGCAGAACUGGAUGCAGGAUUCCAGCAGCAGUCACCCCAGUGCCGAAUAUACAGGUAAAAUCAUCUCUCUCUCUCCUACUCCAGAUUCCUGUUUAUGCAUCCCAGAAUCCCAUUAGCCCUUUUGGCUGCAGCCUUGCACUGGGAUCUCAUGUUCAGCUGAUUAUCCAUCACAACCCCCAAGUCUUUCACAGAGUCACUGCUUUCCAGGACAGAGUCCUCCAUCCUGCAGCUGCUUCAUUAUCUUGUCCAGGAUUGAUGUCAGACUGACAGGCCUAUAAUUACCCAGGUUAUCCAGUUUAAUUAUUGGCACAACAUUCACUUUCUUCCAGUCUUCCGGGGCAUCCCCAAUUUUCUGAGAUGUAUUCAACAUCAUUAAUGGUCCAGCAGUUCCUCAGUCCACUCUUUUAAAACUCUUGGAUGGAAGUUAUCCAGGCCUGCUGAUUUAAAAAUGUCUAAUUGUGGUAGCUGCUGUUUAAAAUCCUGCUGAGAUACUAGUUGAAUGGAAAGAGUCGUCAUCAUAUUUUACAACUACAUCAUACAGCUUUUUCCCAAAUACAGAACUGAAAUAUUUACAGAACACUUUUGUUAUUUCUGGCAUUAUUAUUGAUCAUUCUAUUUCCAUCUAGUAAUGGACUGAUAACAUGUUAUGAUUCUUUUUGUUUCUA